AGUAGUAUCCAUUAAGAGGUCG
rnacentral:miRNA from 1 species